rnacentral:rRNA from 1 species
AUUGAACGCUGGCGGCGGGCCUAACACAUGCAAGUCGAACGAGUAGCGGACGGGUGAGUAAUGUCUGGGAAACUGCGUGAUGGAGGGGGAUAACUACUGGAAACGGUAGUUAAUCCCGCAUCUCAUCAGAUGUGCCCAGAUUGGAUUAGCUUGUCGGGUGGGUAACGGCUCACCAAUGCGACGAUCCCUAGCUGGUCUGAUGGGAUGACCAGCCACACUGGUACUGAGCCACGGUCCAGACUCCUACAGUAGGCAGCAGUGGGGAAUAUUGCACAAGGGGCUCAAGCCUGAUACAGCCAUGCCGCGUGUAUGAAGAAGGCGUUCGGGUGUGAAAGGACUUUCAGCGGGGAGGCGUUACCCUAAGAAGAAGCACCGGCUAACUCCGUGCCAGCAGCCGCGGUAAUUC